rnacentral:rRNA from 1 species
GGUAGCCAUGAAGACAGGCUGGGUCAAGUACAAGGACACUUGGUACUACUUAGACGCUAAAGAAGGCGCUAUGGUAUCAAAUGCCUUUAUCCAGUCCGCAGACGGAACAGGCUGGUACUACCUCAAACCAGACGGAACACUGGCAGAUAAGCCAGACUUCACAGUAGAGCCAGAUGGCUUGAUUACAGUUAAAUAAAUAGAAAGGAAACUUUCUAAAUUGUUCUUUCACCGCAGGCUCAGGCUUGCGGUUUUUUUGUUUGUCUGAAAAUUGACUUGUUGGCGUCAACAAAUAGUAUUAAAUCGCUUGGUUGCCAAUUUUGUUGACAUUAACAAAAUUGCUCUGAAAGUACUGUCUGAAUUAAAAAAGUAAUGAUUUUUUCAUAACUUUUUAUCUUCUUUUACGAAUAGAUAAGUAGGAGGAAUAAAAAUGAAGAUUUUAAAUAUUGAACUAGCAAAUGUAGAGCAGACAGACUUAGGUUUUGAGCAUUGGGUAGAUGUGACUUAUCAGGUUCCGAUUUUGAAGAAUGAAUACACGGUCAAACUAUUAUUACUUAUGGAAUGCAGGAUAGAGGA